rnacentral:lncRNA from 1 species
UCAUGCGAAGCAAUUGCAUUAGGUAAUAAACUCCAUGCUCCCUUCAUGUACCCAUACCCAGCCCCCAUCGGUGACACUGCCCUUAGAGAAUGUCUAGGUUCUCCUAUUUGCAGAAAGACUCUCUGUUAAGAAAGCAGAUGAUUCAUUUAAUUCCAGCAACUCGAUAUUGCAGCUAUAUAAACACAUCUCUCUGGACUUCCCAAAUAAGCUUGGCCCACAUUUACCACUUCCUAUCUUUUCCCAAAAUAGGCUAACUGUGAAAAAGAAAAGACUAACAACUUUAUAUGAGCAAAUAAACAGAAGUAACAAUAUAUAUACGUGUGUGUGUGUAUGUGUGCAUACACAUUCUAUAUUCAGAAAUAUAUAACAACAGAAAUAUUAGUCCUCCCCCUUAAGAUGGUAGGAAUAUAAAAUAAUGAAACUGGGAAAGCCAGUGGGCAGAGAAAGCUUGUCCAAGAAGCUGGUCCCUCCUAUUCGUGGAGCUGGAGGUCUCACCAGCCCUCAUCAGGUAUCCUGGGCUCCCACAUCAAUCUCUCUGGGCUGAAUGCAGCCCACCAGGUAGCUUGCACUGUAACCACUGCCUGCCUUGCUGCAAACUGCAAUGCGAAGUGCCUUGUGGGUUUUGUGUUCCCUUGGGUUUAUUCAAUUGUAAGUAUAAAACUGAAGGCAGGUGGAGAAGGUCAGCAUUACAUAUUCAUUUUAUUUUAAAUAAUUAAUGAUGUUUCCUGUCUCUGCUUACAUUAAUUGCUCUCAGGUGUUAGAAAAUGGCUUGGUGAGUUGCCUUUUAACGUGUUUCUUUAGAAAGACAGUGUAGCUGCUCUUUGGCAUACUAAAGGCAGCAUGUACUGUGCAGGACUUUCUAACUAGAGGUUAAUAAAAGGGAAGUAAACAUAUGAAUUGAUGUUCUCAGCCAUGUGGGGGAGAAGGACGCAUCUAACUGUAUACCCAGGAAAUGUGAGCAAUGACUUCAUCCAAUCUCAGAACAAGACUCAUGUUUACCUAGAUUCUCCUGGUCAGAUGUGGCAUUAGAAACCAAUUUGAUUUUUUCUGAGGUAGUGACACUAAUAACAGAGCAUGAAAUACAAAGUCUUUUUUUUUUUUUUUUGUCUUUUUGUCUUUUUGCCUUUUCUAGGGCCGCACCCACGGCAUAUUGAGGUUCCCAGGCCCGGGGUCCAAUCAGAGCUAUAGCCUCCAGCCUGUGCCAAGCCAUAGCAAUGUGGGAUCUGAGCCACGCCUAUGACCUACAUCACAGCUCACAGCAACGCCAGAUCCUUAACCCACUGAGCGAGGCCAGGAAUCAAACCUGCAACCUCAUGGUUCCUAGUCAGAUUCGUUAACCACCGGGCCACGACGGGAACUCUGCAAAGUCAUUUUUCACGAUCAGUUCACAGGGAGAUAUUUUCUUUCAAGUACAAGCUACAAGUAUUUUUUUCAAAGAAUGUGAAGGCUUCCAGAGGUAUGGGAUGUUACUUUUUUUAAUCUGAUAAUACAUAUGGAGGAAGCAGGUUCUCAAAACAAUGUUGAUUCUGCCUCUUUUAAAAAUAUGAAUUGCCUCACUUCUGGUCAUAUAUAAAACUAUCUGUUCUUCUUCGAACAUGUUUAAGGAGAAGUUGGGCAAACAAAACUAGUUCUAAGGCACGGCUCCAUUCGCAUACUCUGCACUGAUGCUUCUAGAAAGUGUAUUUAUAAUGUGUAUUUACUUUAAGAAGAUCAAGACACUUACUUUUAAAAUACGUUUCUGUGAUAUGUGCUCCCAGAGUUGGACAUUAAUCAAACCUAAGUAGAAUCAACUGAGAGUCAAACUGAAUCUCAGAAGCAGAAUAACUGGCUUUAGAGAAAGGGCUGGAGGGCUUAGGAAAAGGUCCUCAGGGAAGCAGGCUGUACUUGGAAUGUGAGUACCAGUCAUUCUAUGUGCCACUGGCUGUGUCUGUCCUUAGUGGUCUCAGAUCCCAUUGUGAAGGAAGGACUUUGGGAACAUCCUUCUCCCUCUUGCCUCUCUUCUCCAUUUGUAGGUUACAUAGAAGCAAGACCAAGAGAGUAUGAACUAACAUUCAAAUUUAGGGCUUAUACUUUUUUAAGUUUUUAGUAAGAUAACAAGAGUAAACAAAAGAGCUUUGUUCCCAGUCUUAAUUUUAAUUGGUUCAUGCAAAGAUAUUUUCUAACCAUUGGAAUCCACAACCUAAUCAUUAACUUAAUCAUCCUAUUAACUUUGCCAAUAUACAUUGCUUUAUGCCAUACUGACCUACUCAUGUGCACAAAAUAUGUGUGCAACAUUCAGAGAUACAGCAAGUUGUGUGUCUGUAUGGAGAAAGACACAGACACACACACACACACACGCACAGAGCAGGUCAAGACAACAGCUGUUCAGCAUUAUUUACAAUAUACAGGCAUCAGUGAUGACCUAAAGAGCUGAAGAAAAAAACAGGCCAUAUUUUCAGCUUAAUAAAACCCUGCAGUAGGGAGCCCUUUAUGAACAAUUACAAGCAUUUGCCGGAAAUACAUUUGCUGAUUUAACAAACUGGGUAGGACAAAUGUUUAACAUGCUGUCGUAAUGAUGUUCAGAUGCUUUUCUUAGUAUUCGUUGAUCUGAGAUAAUGCGUUCUUGCCCAAUCAUUCUACAAAGCAGCAGCAGAAAUAAAUAAAUAAAUAGAUGUAACGUGAUGCGCUCCCACAAUAGCAGCGCUGCUGACUGCCCCUGACAGAUGGGGAAAAAAAAAGUCAAUAUGAUGCCUGAGACAGCCCAGGCUUGGCACCGCAGAAUAAAUUACAUGAUUCGCUGAAUGCCUGGGCUUCGCUCAGACAUACAAAAAAAUUGGAAAGAUAAAAGCUUGCAUUGGCUUCAGAUGAUAUUUACUGCUUGAUGGAUUUACUAGCAGCCCCAGUACAGUCAUACUGUAUUGAAUUAUUGGCCUCUAUUUAGCUGUGUGUCUGUCGGAUCUUGAGUGUCCAUUUAAGCGUAAGUGAGCUGGAGGCCCGCCAAGCCUCUCAGAGGCUCUGGGUACAGAGGGAGAUGUGAGCUAAUGGCCACCAGCCCGAAGAACAGAGAGCUGGAGGACACUGGGGGAGGCAACAAAGCCCAGCUACAAAGUACUUUCUUAUCAAUAUUAAUGCCAAAAUAAAUAUUAAUGGAGGCUGCCCGGCACAUCAUUUUUGAAUGUGCCUUGUUUUCUUUGUAUUUUAACACAAAUGGCUGGAAAUGACUGUGUGAUUUUUCUCUUUCUUUCACAUUUUCUUUCUUGCUCUGAAUCUAAGCAAGAAUUUGGAAAAGAACAUUAGCUUUGCUCCUACCGUUGUCACAGCGGUGGGGUUUCUAUAAGGCAAAGGAGGCAAAUGAAAUGCUGGUUUUAAGAGGUAUACGGCUUCCAAUAAAAUAUAUGAUUAGAAUAGUAAUGCACAGUAUUGCAGCUAUUGUUAUGGAUUCUUUAUUGCAUUGUGCUCAGGCAGUUCAACUGAGAAGUAGCAUUUCAUGUACAAAGAACCCAAUGGGAAAGUCGCAUUGUCAUCUUAGCUUCAAAAAAAAGAAGGUGGUGUGUGGCAGGGGGGCAAAAGGGUCCAUGGGGACUCUCUGUACUUUCGGCUCCAUUUUGCUGUGAACUUAAAACCACUCUAAAAAAAUAACAUUUACUAAUUAAAUGAACACGCACACAAAGAAGGUGUAGGUACGGUGGGCAUGGUGGGGAACAAAGAGAGCUAAGUGCCCAAGGCACUGGAGUGACCCAGAGUCCAAAACGUGAGUGAACUGAAAUUGUGCAUCAUGUGUGCACGAUGGGGAAGUGAGCGUAAGCCAGAGAGAUGGAGCAGUUAAGAGAAGGUCUAGGGAUUAUUCCCAGGUUACUCACUUUUUAUGCGAGUGAUCAGGGGAAGGGUUACUGUGCAGGGCUCCAAAGUGAGAUCUAUGGCAGGAGUUUUCAGCUAUCUGUGCAAGGGAACUGCUUCCCCCUGGGCAGCACAAAGCAACCCAGCAUUCUCGGAAGAUGCAUGUGGAGCGUGCCAGAUGACUGAAUGCACAGGGUAGCUUCAAGAGGACCUCCUUGCUCUGGCGAGAGCACAGAUAGCCUCCAGGAGCAGGAAACGGGCUGCAGGUGAACCAUCCCCGUGUUAACUCACCAUGGAACCAAAGCUGGGAAAAUCACUUCAUUCCUUUUAGCCACUAUUUCCUAGCCCGUAAAACAGCUGCUGAUGUCAUCACAAUAACAAUUUACUACUUCACAAGAUCUUUAGUGGAUCAGGUGGGGCAGGAAUGAUGAAAAGGGGUAUGUUAUGGCAGCAAUGCACACUCAGUGCUUUCACACUUGCUCAUUUACUCUCUUCACAACACAGUGAUGUGCAUCUUGCUAUAUCCGUUUCAUGAAAAAUGAGAUGUAGUGACCUAGCCCACGUCACAUAGCUAGAAAUGCCAAGAAUGGACCCCACGCCUCCCCUAGGGUACACUUUCUGGAUGAAAAGACAAGAGUGAUGGUCAUUAUCUCCCUCUUUGGGGAGCAGGAUGUGACCCUCUGGACCUGGACACAUAGGCUUGAACUGGAUGGCUGUUGAGGCUCUGAUCAGGUACCCAAGGUCCCCUGCCGCUCACUCUACAGAGACCCACUUCUGAGACUGGGUCCUGGGACCAGCAGUGUUUGGAUACACUAGCUGGGGGAUCCACCAGCUAGCCUGGGGAUCCCAAUGUGUGGGAAGAAAUCCCUUUGCUGGCUCUGGGGCAGAGCAGGUGGCAGAGGCUGAAGGGGUGGAGGACGCCAAGGAAGAGGAGGGUCGCAGGGGAGCAUCUUGCCCAUUUUCGGCUGAUGUUGCUCCAACUCUGCACAUGGCUCACAGCAAACGUCAUAACUGUUGAUAUAUUUCAAUCUGACCAGUGCUGCCACUUGUACAUUUAAAUCCAUUCUGUACAUUGCUUUCAAGAACAAAAGGAUGCAGAAGGCAAACGGAACUAAUCACUGUUGCUGAGACUGAGAAUAACACAAAGUAGUUGCUAGUGUCAUCUGGCUGCUUGAAAUACAUCAGCUGACUACAGGUCAGAACAGGGCCCCAGUGUGGCUGGUAUUGUUUCCAGGUUCCCCAGAUAAGUAAACUGAGGUUGUAAGAGGUCAAGUCCUUACCUGGGUCACACAGAUGGGAAGUCAGUAACUCAGCUCCAAAGGCCAAGUUUCCCCAGGUUGCCCCUGAGAAGUCUCUGUUUAGUGACAGUGUGUGAUCUAUUUUAGAACAAUUUCUGUGAAAUCUGACGUCUUUUUCUAAUGGUACUUCUAAAAAGGAAGAAAAGGGAUUCUGUGACUUGUUGUAACUCCCCUAUUCGCAUGGGGAUUUUUCCUAAAAGCCCCUCGUGGUUUGGUGGAAUGUCGAAUAUCCAAAUUUGGAAUCAAUCUGGGUAGAGUUCCAGGCUCAGCCUCACAAAGGACUAACCUUCAGACUUUGGGCCAGGUAUUAAGCUUUUCUGCACCGCACUCUACCCAAGUUCAAGUAAUGGGAAAAACAAUACUUUAAGUACUGAGAAAUACUGAAGUAAUAUAUAGAAGUACUUAGCCUAUAGGCCUCAGUACCUGACAAGUAUGAUAACAACGAUGCUUAUUAUUAUUCUUCACAUAAAAACAAGCAUGAUUUACUUUAUAGCAGUGUAACUGUAAGGUCCUGGCCAGUAGGUGUCAGAGAGUUAACAGAUCAGGAAAGGGGGUGUUGGAUGAUUCUGAAUAACUACCCAAAUUGUCAGUAGCUAGUAUAAUCUGCAGACUAUUAAUAAGUCAGAGCUGCAACAUACAUGGGGCAAAAGGAUGCUAUGUUUCAGAGAGAAGAGCAAGAGGAACUUGGAAUCUGGCCAUCUCUAGCAUCUGCUUGGGGAGGUAAAGCUAUGACACUCUUUGUCUCUCAGCCAGGCCAAUGUGGUUUGUGAUCUGCGCCUAUUAUUACAUGUGGGCUCAGCAGGCAGGAGCCUCUCUGCAGGGAAAACACACAGCGUUGCCAUGACAGGAACCCACUGUACUAUCUGGCGACAACAUAACUUCACAUGAUGGCAGAAAUGGAACUGAUGGGGAAAAAGUGGUUUUAACUUUUGUCUUAUAUAGAUAUAGAUAGAUACAGAUAUAGUCUAGAGAUAAUAAACACUACUAAAGGUAAAGCAUUACACUUAAUAUUUUAAUAUAUUUAUAUUUAAUUAUAUUAUAAAUACCCAUAUUUUGACUUAGCAAAAACAGCAAGAAAAAAUGCCUUCAGGUUCUUGUAUCACAAUCAUACCUACAUAUUUUUAACCCAUUAGCUUAGAACCUUCAGCAGUUGUGUGAAAGUUGACUACAGAUUAGCCCUCAGUAUGGAUGAUAUAUGUCAAAUCAUAUAUACUAUCAUUUACCAGCGGUCACUUAUAGACAGAAGAGCUCAGCUGAAAUCUACCAGUAAUUAAAGUUAAUACUGGCUGUGUUAACAGGACCCAAGUUAAUGGACGUGCUAAUUAUUCUUCUCUGUGACAGACCCUGGCACCUGUUUGGUUUCCAGUUGGGACAAAGAUAGACCAGAUCCUGUUAGAAUAAGGAGGUCAUCCCAUCCAGCCCCUCGUGACACACAGGCAGAGGUUCAGACUCUAAGACACAUGAAAACUGUGGAACUGUGGGAAAACUAUUCAUGAGAAGUACUAAGAAUGGAAUAAAAAACUACUACGGUGUGAAUGUUUUAAAUCUGACCAUAGAAUAAAGAGUAGUUAACAGGGAGACACAAAGAGUAAGAAAAAAAUAACUAGCCUUAAGAUUGAAGUGAUUAAUAGGGAAGCUCCUUUAGGAUCAAUCAAUACUAGGACCACUAUUCUUCAGUAUAUUUAUUAACAACCGAGAAGAUAGAUGAGGUGAAAAGUCAUUGAAUUUGUCGAUGGCAAAAUUGAAAGAUUAAGGAAGAUAGUGAGCAAUG